rnacentral:rRNA from 1 species
UACGUAGGUGGCAAGCGUUGUCCGGAUUUAUUGGGCGUAAAGCGCGCGCAGGCGGUCCUUUAAGUCUGAUGUGAAAUCUUGCGGCUCAACCGCAAGCGGUCAUUGGAAACUGGGGGGACUUGAGUACAGAAAGAGGAAAGCGGAAUUCCACGUGUAGCGGUGAAAUGCGUAGAGAUGUGGAGGAACACCAGUGGCGAAGGCGGCUUUCUGGUCUGUAACUGACGCUGAGGCGCGAAAGCGUGGGGAGCAAACAGG